rnacentral:rRNA from 1 species
AUUAAAGAGUUUCAUAACUCCUACACCCAUGUGAACAUACCUAACGUUGCCUCGGCAGGUCGCGCCUACCUUGUAAGCCCUUACCCUGUAAGGCUUACCUGGGAGAUGCGGGUAAUCCUGCCGGCGGCCCACUCAACUCUGUUUGAUAUUGAAUUCUGAACCUAUAACUAAAUAAGUUAAAACUUUCAACAACGGAUCUCUUGGUUCUGGCAUCGAUGAAGAACGCAGCGAAAUGCGAUAAGUAAUGUGAAUUGCAGAAUUCAGUGAAUCAUCGAAUCUUUGAACGCACAUUGCGCCCAUUAGUAUUCUAGUGGGCAGGACCGUUCGAGCGUCAUUUCGACCCUUAAGCCUCUGUCGCUUAGUGUUGGGAGCCUACGGCAACGUAGCUCCUCAAAGUUAGUGGCGGAGUUGGUUCACACUCUAGACGUAGUAAUUUUAUCUCGCCUAUCAGUUGGACCGAGCCCCUGCCGUAAAACCCCCCAAAUUUCUCAAGGUUGACCUCGAAUCGGUUCAGGACAUCCACUGAACUUAAGCAUAUCAAUAAGUGGAAGAAAAGAAACCAACAGGGAUUGCCCUAGUAACGGCGAGUGAAGCGGCAACAGCUCAAAUUUGAAAUCUGGCCUUUGGUCCGAGUUGUAAUUUGUAGAGGAUGCUUUUUGGCGCGGUGCCUUCCGAG